GAUGAACGCUGGCGGCGUGCCUAAUACAUGCAAGUCGAGCGAACAGACAAGGAGCUUGCUCCUUUGACGUUAGCGGCGGACGGGUGAGUAACACGUGGGUAACCUACCUAUAAGACUGGGAUAACUUCGGGAAACCGGAGCUAAUACCGGAUAAUAUUUCGAACCGCAUGGUUCGAUAGUGAAAGAUGGUUUUGCUAUCACUUAUAGAUGGACCCGCGCCGUAUUAGCUAGUUGGUAAGGUAACGGCUUACCAAGGCGACGAUACGUAGCCGACCUGAGAGGGUGAUCGGCCACACUGGAACUGAGACACGGUCCAGACUCCUACGGGAGGCAGCAGUAGGGAAUCUUCCGCAAUGGGCGAAAGCCUGACGGAGCAACGCCGCGUGAGUGAUGAAGGUCUUCGGAUCGUAAAACUCUGUUAUUAGGGAAGAACAUACGUGUAAGUAACUAUGCACGUCUUGACGGUACUUAAUCAGAAAGCCACGGCUAACUACGUGCCAGCAGCCGCGGUAAUACGUAGGUGGCAAGCGUUAUCCGGAAUUAUUGGGCGUAAAGCGCGCGUAGGCGGUUUUUUAAGUCUGAUGUGAAAGCCCACGGCUCAACCGUGGAGGGUCAUUGGAAACUGGAAAACUUGAGUGCAGAAGAGGAAAGUGGAAUUCCAUGUGUAGCGGUGAAAUGCGCAGAGAUAUGGAGGAACACCAGUGGCGAAGGCGACUUUCUGGUCUGUAACUGACGCUGAUGUGCGAAAGCGUGGGGAUCAAACAGGAUUAGAUACCCUGGUAGUCCACGCCGUAAACGAUGAGUGCUAAGUGUUAGGGGGUUUCCGCCCCUUAGUGCUGCAGCUAACGCAUUAAGCACUCCGCCUGGGGAGUACGACCGCAAGGUUGAAACUCAAAGGAAUUGACGGGGACCCGCACAAGCGGUGGAGCAUGUGGUUUAAUUCGAAGCAACGCGAAGAACCUUACCAAAUCUUGACAUCCUUUGACAACUCUAGAGAUAGAGCCUUCCCCUUCGGGGGACAAAGUGACAGGUGGUGCAUGGUUGUCGUCAGCUCGUGUCGUGAGAUGUUGGGUUAAGUCCCGCAACGAGCGCAACCCUUAAGCUUAGUUGCCAUCAUUAAGUUGGGCACUCUAAGUUGACUGCCGGUGACAAACCGGAGGAAGGUGGGGGAUGACGUCAAAUCAUCAUGCCCCUUAUGAUUUGGGCUACACACGUGCUACAAUGGACAAUACAAAGGGCAGCGAAACCGCGAGGUCAAGCAAAUCCCAUAAAGUUGUUCUCAGUUCGGAUUGUAGUCUGCAACUCGACUACAUGAAGCUGGAAUCGCUAGUAAUCGUAGAUCAGCAUGCUACGGUGAAUACGUUCCCGGGUCUUGUACACACCGCCCGUCACACCACGAGAGUUUGUAACACCCGAAGCCCGGUGGAGUAACCAUUUGGAGCUAGCCGU
rnacentral:rRNA from 1 species